rnacentral:rRNA from 1 species
CGGACGGGUGAGUAACACGUGGAUAACCUACCUAUAAGACUGGGAUAACUUCGGGAAACCGGAGCUAAUACCGGAUAAUAUUUUGAACCGCAUGGUUCAAAAGUGAAAGACGGUCUUGCUGCCACUUAUAGAUGGAUCCGCGCUGCAUUAGCUAGUUGGUAAGGUAACGGCUUACCAAGGCAACGAUGCAUAGCCGACCUGAGAGGGUGAUCGGCCACACUGGAACUGAGAUACGGUCCAG